rfam:Gossypium hirsutum cultivar TM-1 chromosome 15, whole genome shotgun sequence
AUGUCGUGAUGAGGGCACUUUUAUAAUAAAUCCUUGAACAGCUCCCAUGCCUUACGUAAAGAUUCUUUAUCAAGUUGCUGAAAUGAAGUGACUUCAUUUUGGAUCUU